UACGUAGGCAGCGAGCGUUGUUCGGAGUUACUGGGCGUAAAGCGUGCGUAGGCGGUGUCUUAAGUUUGUUGUGAAAUCUCCCGGCUUAACCGGGAGGGUGCGGCGAAUACUGAGAUGCUGGAGUGCCGGAGAGGUAAGCGGAAUUCCUGGUGUAGCGGUGAAAUGCGUAGAUAUCAGGAGGAACACCUGCGGUGUAGACGGCUUACUGGACGGUAACUGACGCUGAGGCACGAAAGCGUGGGUAACAAACAGG
rnacentral:rRNA from 1 species